CACUGCCGAGAAAAGCCUCUAGAUAGAAAAUAGGUGCCCGUACCGCAAACCGACACAGGUAGUCAAGAUGAGAAUUCUAAGGUGAGCGAGCGAACUCUCGUUAAGGAACUCGGCAAAAUGACCCCGUAACUUCGGGAGAAGGGGUGCUCUUUAGGGUUAACGCCCAGAAGAGCCGCAGUGAAUAGGCCCAAGCGACUGUUUAUCAAAAACACAGGUCUCUGCUAAACCGUAAGGUGAUGUAUAGGGGCUGACGCCUGCCCGGUGCUGGAAGGUUAAGAGGAGUGGUUAGCUUCUGCGAAGCUACGAAUCGAAGCCCCAGUAAACGGCGGCCGUAACUAUAACGGUCCUAAGGUAGCGAAAUUCCUUGUCGGGUAAGUUCCGACCCGCACGAAAGGCGUAACGAUUUGGGCACUGUCUCAACGAGAGACUCGGUGAAAUCAUAGUACCUGUGAAGAUGCAGGUUACCCGCGACAGGACGGAAAGACCCCGUGGAGCUUUACUGUAGCCUGAUAUUGAAAUUCGGCACAGCUUGUACAGGAUAGGUAGGAGCCUUUGAAACGUGAGCGCUAGCUUACGUGGAGGCGCUGGUGGGAUACUACCCUAGCUGUGUUGGCUUUCUAACCCGCACCACUUAUCGUGGUGGGAGACAGUGUCAGGCGGGCAGUUUGACUGGGGCGGUCGCCUCCUAAAAGGUAACGGAGGCGCUCAAAGGUUCCCUCAGAAUGGUUGGAAAUCAUUCAUAGAGUGUAAAGGCAUAAGGGAGCUUGACUGCGAGACCUACAAGUCGAGCAGGGUCGAAAGACGGACUUAGUGAUCCGGUGGUUCCGCAUGGAAGGGCCAUCGCUCAACGGAUAA
rnacentral:rRNA from 1 species